AACGAACGCUGGCGGCAGGCCUAACACAUGCAAGUCGAACGCUCCGCAAGGGGAGUGGCGCACGGGUGAGUAACACGUGGGAACCUACCUUCUGGUACGGAACAACCAAGGGAAACUUUGGCUAAGACCGUAUACGACCUCCGGGUGAAAGAUUGAUCGCCGGAAGAGGGGCCCGCGUCCGAUUAGGUAGUUGGUGAGGUAACGGCUCACCAAGCCUUCGAUCGGUAGCUGGUCUGAGAGGAUGACCAGCCACACUGGGACUGAGACACGGCCCAGACUCCUACGGGAGGCAGCGGUGGGGAAUAUUGGACAAUGGGCGCAAGCCUGAUCCAGCCAUGCCGCGUGAGUGAUGAAGGCCUU
rnacentral:rRNA from 1 species